AGAAUCAACGCUGGCGGCGUGCCUAACACAUGCAAGUCGCACGAGAAAGGGGAGCAAUCCCUGAGUACAGUGGCGCACGGGUGAGUAACACGUGAAUAAUCUACCUCCGAGUGGGGAAUAACUGAGAGAAAUCUUAGCUAAUACCGCAUAAUACCCACGGGUCAAAGCAGCAAUGCGCUUGGAGAGGAGUUCGCGGCAGAUUAGUUAGUUGGCGGGGUAAUGGCCCACCAAGACGAUGAUCUGUAUCCGGCCUGAGAGGGCGCACGGACACACUGGAACUGAAACACGGUCCAGACUCCUACGGGAGGCAGCAGUGGGGAAUUUUGCGCAAUGGGGGAAACCCUGACGCAGCAACGCCGCGUGGAGGAUGAAGCCCCUUGGGGUGUAAACUCCUUUCGAUCGGGAAGAUAAUGACGGUACCGAUAUAAGAAGCCCCGGCUAACGUUCGUGCCAGCAGCCGC
rnacentral:rRNA from 1 species